GAUUCAUGAUUUUUUUUCAUGCGGUCUGCAAUAUCAGUAUGGCCCCACAUAUGGUGGAUGAUAAACGUCAACAAGUAUAUUGUAAACAGACCAAAAGCACUUCAUGUGAAAUUACUGAUCACCAUGGGCUCCGUUAGACACCAUGAAUCUAGAUUCUAGGCACCUGAGAGCCAAAGCAAACCACCACGAGGCACAGGAGCUCACUCUCUGCCCUGAGGAAGCAUCUCACAGAGGCAGUCUCGCAUGUCAGCAGAAUUCCCAAGAAGCCCACCAAGAGCACCCUUCAGACCUGGACCUGGUACUAGGUACAAGCAAGGGCCCACUCUGCUGCACUGGCUCCCUGCUCCACA